GAUGAACGCUGGCGGCGUGCCUAACACAUGCAAGUCGAGCGGGGUUGUGCGGAACCUUCGGGUGAUACACAACCUAGCGGCGGACGGGUGAGUAACGCGUGGGUAACCUGCCUUUUACUGGGGGAUAACAGCCGGAAACGACUGCUAAUACCGCAUACAACGGUAAGACCGCAUGGUAUUGCCGGAAAAGAUUUGUCGGUAAAAGAUGGACCCGCGUCCGAUUAGCUAGUUGGUAGGGUAAUGGCUCACCAAGGCGACGAUCGGUAGCCGGCCCGAUAGGGAGGACUGCGAAAUUGGGACUGAGACACGGCUCAAACUCCGACGGGAGGCAGCAGUGGGGGAGAUUGCACAACGGGGGGAACCCUGAUGCAGCAACGCCGCGUGAGCGAGGAAGUAUUUCGGUAUGUAAAGCUCUAUCAGCAGGGAAUAGAAAAGAAGGUACCUGACUAAGAAGCCCCGGCUAACUACGUGCCAGCCGCCGCAGUAACAC
rnacentral:rRNA from 1 species